rnacentral:tRNA from 20 species
GGGGAAAUAGCUCAGUCGGUUAGAGUGCUGGUCUGUCACGCCAGAAGUCGCGGGUUCGAACCCCGUUUUCCCCG